CCAAUGACUAUGGAAAUAUCUAUUCAUUAACAUACUCUCCAUUGCUUUCAAUCACCCCAUUCCAUCUUUCAACAACCUUAUAAAUGCCUCGCUUGUAAAAUUCUGUAGAUUUAGAACCAAAAUAUGAAUCCAACUCAUUUUCAUUCUUUUCUCUUGUUAUACGAAAUACAG